CACUUCGGCCUCAUGUUAUUUUUGUUUUGAAAAUCAGUCCGUAAUACAAGGAACCUAUAGCCAUUGUAAGAAAUGGUGUCUUCUCUCUCUCUAUCUGGAAUUGCGCGUUUUCCAGGUUUUUCCAUCACCUAGACGUAGGAAAUGCUUCCCUAGCAGGGGGAGCCAUGUCUAAAGAAGUGUUCGUCAGGCUAGAUUGAUUAUCAAGAUGGCGGAUCGGAAUUUUGGGACAGCUUUUCAGUAAUGACCUAUCUAAUUCUGAAAGGCGUCGUCUUCCGGUUUAAAGCUUACAAGCAGACUAUCAGUACGAUGUUGCUGUUCAUCGCGCGAGAGACAUGAUGAAGGGUUUAGCCGAGAAAGAGUUUUCACGAUUCCUAGAAGUACGAAGUAGUGUGGCUCGCCCUAUUCAAUAGUUUUAUCUGAAACAGAAUAGAACAACAAUCUUCACAUGGACCCAAAAGUAUGACCUCUACUUGAUGCUUUCACAUAGACACAAGUUUUCUCUAUUUUCUAGUGGUUUUACUUCCAAGAGAAGAGGUUGUGAAUGUUUGCAUGUUCACUAAACCGCGUUGAACAAAGGAGAUAGGGGAACCCUCAUAAAUUCUUUCGAUGUGAUAAAAGAGAUCUAUUGUUGAUGAAGAAGAAAAGCCGUCUAACUCUCGUGUCUAAACAAAUUGUAAUGUUAUAAACACUUAGUUCGGUCUAUCACCUGUUAUAACAGAUAAGCGAUUAAGACACUUGUUAUCAUUUAGAAAAUGUCGAUGACCUUUUUGAAUAGAAAAAAAAAAUUAAUCAACUAGAUAUUGACCAAGUAUUUUGUCAGUCAGUUUAGUUCUUGAUUACAUCAACAAGAUCAACAAUAACAAGAAGCGCAACAAGAAGUGCAAAACAUCUUCAAACAUGGGUAAAGUCUAUGAGAGAAACGGGAAUUUGUAUUAGGACAGAUAUCAGAUGAGAUCUCAACCGAAAGACCUCAUUACUGCCGUAGGUAGUCAAUUGGUAUGGAGACAAAAUCGUCCCACAAACAGGUCAACGCCCAUUUUCACAAAAACGUGUUUUUAUUUUAAUCGAUUUCUAUAUAUUGAUUAUCACACGAUACACUAAAAACUGGUAUUCUACUCUGCCAGUUUUUCCUCUUUAAUAAGACUUCUUCAGGGCAGACAUUAAGAAGUCUUAUUGGCAGAGUCGAAUACAGUUUUUGGUGUAUUGUAUUUGUGUUUACGAACACGACUAUUUGGGCCUUUUAAAUGGAUUAUUACACGAAAUAUACCUAUGUUGCUUAGAUAUUAUUUCAGGUUUAUCUUGCAAAGAGUGAUGUGAUUUUGUAAAUAUCACUAUUUAAUAUGACGUCAUCGCUUUUUCAUUCGUAUUCACCGUGCUCAUUUUUUCUAUUAAGUAUAAUUUUAGGCUUAAUUUAUUUUUUAAUUCAAGCUGAGAGAUCGAUGGAUUAUUUUCUUGCAAAUAUCUCAUCGUUUCUUCCCUCUUUCUAAUAACUUGUUACCUCUCGUCGUGUUUUUGUUUUAUUAUAUAUUUAUAUUUUUCAAAAAUAUGACGCAAUCGUUUUCAAAAAUAUGGCGCCAUAGCUUUUAGUCCAGAAUUUUUUUCCUCUCAAUUCUUCUACACAACUGUUUUACUUUAUUUCCUACCAACAUAUUAGAUCAACUUUUUUUGUGUGUUAAAAUCUCCUUGUUUUCUGUAUUUUGUUAUUAUUUUAACGAUAAAGAAAAUAAUGGUUCACAAAUAGUAUUACGUAUGACAGUCUAAUAACCAACUGUGAGGCUCGAAAUUUUCUUCAUGGCGGUAACUUGCGUCACGGUUGGAAUGCAGGCCAGAAACACCCCCUCUUGACGUGGCUUUCAAACGAAACAAACAGAGCCGUCUUUCUCCUCCCUAAUUACUAUUGUCCCUCUCAGCCAAUCAGCGAUUAAUACUUUUUGAGAAUCUUUUAAAUGCCAUUCCAGUCUAAUUAACAAUUCACUUGCAGCAUAGCUGCGGUAUACUAACGCCUAACUAUUACCGACGUACGUCGAAAACGGUAAGCAGAAGUGGGAAAGAUUCAGUUAGGACUCGGUUAGAUAGUAAUAUAUUUAUCCUCUUUUUUUUCGGAGCAGAUAGAAAAGAUGGAUAAGACUACAUUAGAUUUCGUGCGAUCUCAUGUGUUCGAUGGCAAUCAAGAGAUGUCUUCAAGUUGCUCUGGUACACCCACACCGGAGAAUAACCGCACAAGUGCGACAAGUGCGGACGCGGCUUUAAGCAGCUCACACACCUCACAUACCAUCUGAGAACCCAUUCAGACGUGCGCAUGUUCACGUGCCAGUACUGCGGCAAGGGCUUCAACCAGAAGGGUAAUCUACAAGCUCAUGUGUACCGGCACACAGGCGAGAAGCCAUUCAAGUGUCAUAUCUGUGGCAAAGGCUUCACCUUGGCCUCCACGCGCAACACACACCUUCGCACGCACGCCAAAAAAAAGCCAUUUCAGUGCAAAUACUGUGAAAAAGCUUUCUAUCAGAAGAAUGCUCUGAAAUCGCAUUACAUCUCGUCUCAUCCUUAUAGCGGGGGUGUAAUGUUGCUUUGAGAAUCUCUAGAACCUUUAGUUGGAGUCAUUUAAAGAAUAAUUUGACAGAAUGCCAAUUUAAAAAUUGCCUGAAAAAAAGGAGGAAAAACGGUGUGUUCUUAGGUUUUCUUUGCAUAUUAUUUCAGCUUUAAUGAACCUGUACAAGAAAUUCGUUUUUUUUUACCGAAAAUUUAUCAAAUUUGGUACCGUGUUGUACAUAUAUUUCAAAAUAAUUUGUUAUGGUUAGCAAAAAAACGUGAUGUAAAAACGUGAUGUAAUGAACCUAAGUAUAGCGGGCCUUUAUGAAAGGGACACAAAAAUGUGAAGAGUUUCGAGAAACCAAGGGUGGUAAAUGUGCUAUGUUUGCCUGGUUUUACUGAAAUUUUCAAUAUUUUGCGAAUAAUAUCACCACAAAGCUUGUCAAUAAUUUUCAACUGCUAAACAGAUACAUUUGGUACUUUUUGAUUGGUCAACGCCUUGGGGAGCAAUGGCGUGAUGGAAAACCAUUUUAGUGCUGGCCGGUGAAAGAUCUUCAAUAAUUUUAAAUUACAGAAAGCGAUAUAGCUGUCGGGGGAAUCGUCGGCGAGAGUUCCACAAUAUUGAAAAACUAAGAAAGUGCGAGUAGAAUUGAGGAGCUUUUGAAAGCUACUUUGGUAAAAUAUCUAGCAACUUUUGUGUAAAGUCUCGUUAAUGAAAUAAAGAAGUGAUUCCUUUACUAUACAUCGAUAUUUUUCAGGCGCGCGGGUCAUUUCUCAGGAAUCAAAUACUUUGCUUCUUCCAUGUCAUACCUACGACUUCGCAUGCCUACAUCUUUCAAUUUUCCUCUUCGCGAAUUUCGCCCCCGCUGUCUGAUGGCAGGCGCAGAUAUCGACAGUUCUUAACCUCAUCUAUUUCCCUCUCUAACUGAGUCCUUUCAUCCUUAUGUUUUUCUCGCCAGGCUGCGAUGUUAGGACAGCUUUGAAGCCUUCUGCGAGCGAUUCUCCACUUAUCCAUCGCUACUCUUGGUGUUUUUGAAUCAAAAUUAUUAUUCGGAGCCACGCUCGCUCGUCUCCCGUAGGGGGUGGCCCGGGGAAACAAUAUUGGCACAAGGUCUUGGUCAGUCUGUUUUCGCAUACCUACAAAACGCUCACGAGUUUGUGAGUCCAGAACUGAGGAUGAUAUUUUUUCGGGAUUUUUUCUUGGUUGUCCCGGCGUUAUCACAUCUUUCUCUGAUGAAAUUUUGUUUUCUCUUUUUGGCGGUGAAAUUGUAAGCUUAGGAAAUGUCAUUAGAUUAUGAUGCUGUGUCCAUGACGCAAAUUCUCUCGUGCCUUCCCUUGCCCUGGGAAAAUCUUGGACGUGACGACUCCAGGAAACGUUUGGGUUUGGAUUGGAUUUGAACAUAGAAUCCGACAUUGAUUUUCUUCGUCCUUCCUGUAACGAAACCAAACGCGUCUGCUCCUUUGUUAAAUGCCGCAGCUUUUUUUCGCAUUCUUUUUGAUACUUUUCCAAAGAUUUUGACAGCCGUCUGUCUUCUCCAGAGUUUAAAACCUUCAUAGACUUAAAAGCCCCAGUGAGGCUAUGUCGUUUUUCGCUUUUUCUCGUAUGAGACAUUGAGAUACCUUGCUCGAAGUUCCGUGUGCGCAUUGAACCGAAUUGAGACCCCCGGAGAAGUAAUACAUGUCAAACGAAAGCUCAAACAAAACUUUGUUUAAAUUGCUACACUAAUUAAUCAACAAAUUUACCUUAAAGAGCCUCUACCAGCCUCCAUUUUGUCAUCUUAGCAAAUAACCAAUUUUGUAUCCGAGUUUUUGUCAGCAAACUAAAUGAUAUCAAUGUACUAAUUUUUGUUAUACUUCAGCUAUAAAAUUGAAUGUCUGACCCAGCUAAAAUUAGCAUUAAAAUAGUGCAUCAUCUUGUUUGACCGCUUAAUUACAGUUUUAUGAAAGUUCUAAUCCAAAGGCCAGAGUGAGCAAAUCCUUGUAUAAAUAAUGCGGUAGUUAGACACGAAAGUUUAGUAACAGUUAUUUCAAUUUGCGGUCCAUGUUCUAUUCUUUCUCGGAGCCUCGUUAAGUCUGUAACGACCGCGCCAUGAACAGAGCAACUUUGCUGGAGAUAAAAUUUAACAACUAAAUCUACUUGAUAGUCGUCACUUUUUGAUCAAACCCUUUUAUUGCUAACAUUUGAGUAUUUAAUCAUGGAGAUUCUAUUUUUAGCCUUAACAUGAUGAUUUUGCCUUACCGUUUUCUCGAAAAUUUAGGUAAUCUAAACGCCAGGAAAAGCGAGGACAUUACAAUUAAAGAUCCUUUAAUCAGGUUGUUUAUCUUCAAGCUUACGUCGUAAAAAGGUAAAAAAAAAGUUGCAAAACGUUUCAAUGAAACUCCUCCGAAAUGCCUUGCUUCAAUGCCUUGCGAUCAAGGUUUUCUAACAAAUUUGGGCCGCAAGUCUCAAAUUGACAUGAACCAGCAUAUUUUCACCAUGUUUUCAGGAGAUCAGGAAACGGGAAAACUGUAGCUCCUCUAAAUAUGGGCAUCAAUGCCCAUAUAAGGCAACACAUACGAAGGACACUAUAUGUGGGGAAUAUGUUUGAUAUGUACCUUUCUAUUGUAACACGUAGAUGACGUAGGUCGGCUUGCCGCAAGAGGUCUCGGUAAUUAUCCCAGCAAGCCUUUUGGUCUUACGCCUGUAGCUCGCCUGAGUCCCUGGCCGUUAUAUGCGUACCAGAAAUUGUCCCGUUAGUUGUCACACCGGAAAUUCCUACCAUUAAAGCGUUUGUCAAGAGAAUUAAAGUUUUUAAAGUAA